UAAAAAAAGUAACCAAUUAAAAUCAACAAACUAUAUUUGGUAUCUAAAUUAUCAUAUUAAUUUUUUAUUAAUUAUUAUUGUUCACUUCUCAUCUUUAUAUGAUUCUAUUUUUACGGAAAAAUAAUAUCAUCAUUAUAAAAAAAUAAUUAGAGUUUUUUCGCAUAUGCCAUAAUUUGAAUUUUUAAAAACGAAUA
rnacentral:sRNA from 1 species